AGGGAUGUAGUUCAGUGAUAUAGUACUGUCCUAGCAGGCCUGAAGCCCUGGGUUCAAUUCCCAGUAUCCCUC
rnacentral:tRNA from 1 species